rnacentral:rRNA from 1 species
GUCGCUACUACCGAUUGAAUGGUUAUAGUGAGCAUAUGGGAUCAGUAGAAUUAGGUUGGCAACAACCUUUCUCUGCAGAGAACUAUGGCAAACUAGGCUAUUUAGAGGAAGUAAAAGUCGUAACAAGAUUUCC